UUCAAUAAAUUCAGUUUUAUAGAGCACCAAUUCACAACAAAUGUUAUCUUAAGGCACUUUAUAAAAGAUCAUUUGAAUUUAAAUUGAUCCUAAAAC